rnacentral:misc_RNA from 1 species
GCCGAGGGUGGCGAGCAUGGCCCAUCGGCCAUGGAUAAGCUCACACUCACGGAAACGCUGGAGGCCAAACACCUCCCCAUAGGGCUGGAAGGGGGUCGACUUGACUUCAGAAGUCUCAAACCGGGUGCCGAUGAUAUCACCGGCGUUGUUCUUGGCGAGAUUCUGAUCGAGUGAAUCAAAGUCGUACUGAAGGUACUCUGCAGGCUUGCCGAGGCCCAAUGGAUCAAACCCGUAGUCUCCCACCAGCGACCCGUCGAGAUACUCCGGUGCCGUGGCACCGGGGUACCACAGAAUGCGGUCAGAGGUUGUCUUGGAGGCAGCUUUUUUCUUGGCCGGAGCAGACUUCUUUUUGCCGAAGCCGAAGCCGAAGCGGGCCUGGAAGCGGCUGCUGCCGCCAGCGGUCUCGACGGCCGACGGGUGGAGGUGGGUGCCGAAGAGGGUGGAGGUGGCUGCGGCGGUGGUAGCCAUGUCCUCUGCCGG